UUAUGGCAUCUUUUAUUAUAGAUAAUGACAUCAAAAAUACUACAGCUAAAGUUUCCUGUUUUAAUAUAGACAUUGAAGGAGUUGAAAAGUUUGACAUUUUACAAAAUGAUACAGCUAAAAUUUCUUGUUUGGAUAUAGACAUUGAUGCUAUUGAAAUGUUUGAA